AAGUCGAGCGGGGAAAGGUAGCUUGCUACCUAACCUAGCGGCGGACGGGUGAGUAAUGCUUAGGAAUCUGCCUAUUAGUGGGGGACAACAUUCCGAAAGGAAUGCUAAUACCGCAUACGCCCUACGGGGGAAAGCAGGGGAUCUUCGGACCUUGCGCCAAUAGAUGAGCCUAAGUCAGAUUAGCUAGUUGGUGGGGUAAAGGCCUACCAAGGCGACGAUCUGUAGCGGGUCUGAGAGGAUGAUCCGCCACACUGGGACUGAGACACGGCCCAGACUCCUACGGGAGGCAGCAGUGGGGAAUAUUGGACAAUGGGCGAAAGCCUGAUCCAGCCAUGCCGCGUGUGCGAAGAAGGCCUUUUGGUUGUAAAGCACUUCAAGCGAGGAGGAGGCUACUUGGAUUAAUACUCUAGGAUAGUGGACGUUACUCGCAGAAUAAGCACCGGCUAACUCUGUGCCAGCAGCCGCGGUAAUACAGAGGGUGCGAGCGUUAAUCGGAUUUACUGGGCGUAAAGCGUGCGUAGGCGGCUUCUUAAGUCGGAUGUGAAAUCCCUGAGCUUAACUUAGGAAUUGCAUUCGAUACUGGGAAGCUAGAGUAUGGGAGAGGAUGGUANAAUUCCAGGUGUAGCGGUGAAAUGCGUAGAGAUCUGGAGGAAUACCGAUGGCGAAGCAGCCAUCUGGCCUAAUACUGACGCUGAGGUACGAAAGCAUGGGGAGCAAACAGGAUUAGAUACCCUGGUAGUCCAUGCCGUAAACGAUGUCUACUAGCCGUUGGGGCCUUUGANGCUUUAGCGGCGCAGCUAACGCGAUAAGUAAACCGCCUGGGAGUAACGUCGCAAGACUAAAACUCAAAUGAAUUGGACGGGGCCCGCACAAGCGGUGGAGCAUGU
rnacentral:rRNA from 1 species